rnacentral:lncRNA from 1 species
CUUGGUCUUUCGGGCUUGGAUUUUGCAAUGGAGAAAAGGCUUGAAAACCCCACAGAUAAGAGUGCCGUUGAAUAUUUAGCCGAGCAUGAAAAGUGGGAAAGAGCUAACAAACUCUGUUUGAAAAUCAUUAAGCGAUCGAUAUCUGAUUCCAUUCUAGGUGCCAUCCCUGAUAAUGAAAAUGCCAAAAGUUUUAUGGAUACCAUAGGAGAAAAAUUUAUUGAGUCUGAUAAAGCCGAAACUGGGGAUCUGAUGGAUAAAUUUAUGAGCAUGAAAUAUGAUGGUACAAGUGGUGUUAGGGAGCAUGUCAUGAAAAUGAUAAAUAUAUCAUCUAAGCUAAAAGCUCUUGACAUUCCCAUUGCGGAGCCUUUCCUGGUCUAUCAUGUUUUGAAUAGCCUUCCUAGCAAGUUUAAUCAGCUUAAGGUUACUUACAAUGCUCAGCGGGAUAAGUGGAAUUUGAAUGACCUCAUAGCAGUGUGUGCCCAAGAAGAGUAUAGGAUGCGCCGUGAAACUGUUGAAACUGUGCAAUUAGCUUUUCAGCCAUCACAGAAUAAGGGGCCUUCUCAUAAUCAUAAAUCUAAGUUCCGUAAGGGUAAUAAGUCCCAUCGAAGUCAGCAGAAUAAUAAUUUUAGUGGUCCAAAAGCAGUUAUAAAGAAAAAUGAUCAAUGCAAGUUCUGUAAAAAGAAGGGUCACUGGCAGAAAGACUGUUUUAAGUUCAAAAAUUGGUUGGAAAAGAAGAAGAGUUCUUCAGGUAUUCCCUUGGCCUUAGUUUGUUUUGAGUCUUCUUUAGUAGAUGUACCUUUGAAUUCUUGGUGGUUAGACUCAGUAGCUAGUAUUCAUAUUGCGAAUUCCUUGCAGGGGUUCAUAAGCAAACGGAGGCUAAGUGAGAAUGAAGUAAGUUUGAGCGUUGCAAAUGGAUUUCAAGUGAAGGUUGAAUUCAUAGGAGUAGUGAAAUUAACUUUAGAGUCUGGUUUUUAUCUUGUUUUGGAAAAUACAGUUUAUGUACCGCAGAUCAGACGGAAUUUAAUUUCUAUACCAAAACUUGAUGCUUGUG